GACGAACGCUGGCGGCGUGCUUAACACAUGCAAGUCGAACGGAAAGGCCCUGCUUUUGUUGGGUGCACGAGUGGCGAACGGGUGAGUAACACGUGAGUAACCUGCCCUUGACUUUGGGAUAACUUCAGGAAACUCGGGCUAAUACCGGAUAGGAGCUCCUGCUGCAUGGUGUGGGUUGGAAAGUUUCGGCGGUUGGGGAUGGACUCGCGGCUUAUCAGCUUGUUGGUGUGGUAGUGGCUUACCAAGGCUUUGACGGGUAGCCCGCCUGAGAGGGUGACCGGCGACAUUGGGACUGCGAUACGGCCCAGACUCCUACGGGAGGCAGCAGUGGAGAAUAUUGCAGAAUAGGCGGAAGCCUGAUGCAGCAACGCCGCGUGCGGGAUGACGGCCUUCGGGUUGUAAACCGCUUUCGCCGGUGACGAAGCGUGAGUGACGGUAAUGGGUAAAGAAGCACCGGCUAACUACGUG
rnacentral:rRNA from 1 species